UACGGAGGGUGCGAGCGUUAUCCGGAAUUACUGGGCGUAAAGCGUGCGCAGGCGGUUUUGUAAGCCAGAUGUGAAAUCCCCCGGGCUUAACCUGGGAAUGGCAUUUGGGACUGCAAGGCUCGAGUGCGGCAGAGGAGACUGGAAUUCCUGGUGUAGCAGUGAAAUGCGUAGAUAUCAGGAGGAACACCGAUGGCGAAGGCAGGUCUCUGGGCUGACACUGACGCUCAUGCACGAAAGCGUGGGGAG
rnacentral:rRNA from 1 species